GUAACAGCGCCCACUUCCCAGGUUUGCGAUCCACUGACAGUGACUCCAACUCCUGGCCAGAGCACAGGGUAACCCAAACCAGAACUUUCCCUGCCUGAGCACAGCAGAGCUGAGACCUACCACAUGCAACGUUCAGGAAAAGUGUAAUAACUGCAGCAGUGACGUCCCUGAGAAAGCAAGAGGAGAUGCAGUCCAGGUCAUGCGCAGAAUGAUCAGCCUUUCACAGGAACCGAGAGCCCUCUGCCUUUGAACAAAGAUGGAAGACAGAGAAUAUGCGUACUGAUCAAAGCAGGCCUGUAACCUGGGUGGUGGAAAGAUGAGAAAGUCCCCUUCUGACGACUUCCAUAAGUAUUUAUUUAUAUCAAUGGGAUUAUAAG